AACAAAUGCCGUUGAUGCGUCUGUAUCGAUUCGCUCGAUCGAGUCAUUUAUGUUUCGUACCGAAGAAGAUCCGAAUCGUCUGUGAAUCUCAUCACUGUUAGAAAUCCAAGAGAAGAGAUCCUCUUCCCUUAACAUCAUCAGAGGAAAAAUCUGCUUCUUAAUCAAUUAGUUUCAGCGUUUGUACCUCUCUCUCUGGAUCCAUGUCAUCCUACAGUCUCUUCUCGAGCAAGGCGUGGCGAGACACUUUACACAAGAUUUACGACUCUAUGGUCUGUGUGUUCUGGUAUCUGCUGAGUCACCAGAAAUCUGCCAAGACACUGACACUUGCGCCUGCUCCAACAUCUGGUGCAUAAGGGCUUUAAGGUUUCCAGAACCAAGCUGCAAUAUUGUAUGGACACUUAAGUAUUUGAACUUUUGAAGUUUUGAACUUUCUCAAGGCUGUCAUUCUAGACACAAAACGCCCUGCUGGGUCAGAAAAUGGAUCCCUGACUGCUCUUUAUAUGACAAGCUUCUCCGUUCCGCAGUCUCUCAUCACGAGCCACUGCAACAUCCUUUGACCUGGACUGACGCUAUGGUGCCACCGUGGUCGCUUGUCACUCCCUCAAAAGCACCCUUUGUUCCACCCCUGGGCUACCUGCUCACUUCAAGCCCUUCCACCUCUAUGCCUGUGAACACCAGGGCACAGCCUCUGGGGAGCAUGAGGGGGGGAGAUGCAUCAUUGUGCGUUUUUAUCCAAAACAUUAGACAUUGUUGCUCAAGGCUUACUUGCGUGUCUGGGGGCUGUCUCCGCAUGUGCUUUGAAGGUUUGAUGGUUGCAAAAUUGACAGACCCAUUAAAUUAAUUAAUCAGUAAUUUAAUAGAUAAUUAAAUUAACAUAUGACUAUUUAUUCUCUGUUCUACUAACAAUCUCGAAAUUCGUGUCACAUCCUCUUUUGAUAAUGUAGGUCGCGCUCUCGCACGCCUCCUUAAUUCUCGGGAUGAUACUUGGGAUGACAUUGAUAUUGUCUGUCUAAAAAAUCAUACAUACUACUAGUAUCAGGUCUGAUCUCUUCCCUCCAGCCCUCUAGGGAUCUUUAUUGGUGGUUUUUGUUCUAAACCCUCAGACGGUUCUUGUUUUAUAAUUUCUACCUCUGUGGUUAUUCUGUGUGUUCAAUCAAUAUCAGCCUGAUAUUCUGCAUGAGACAUACGCUCUUUCUUUCUCAUUUGAUUUUUGUCAUCUUGAUUGUGGACAAAUUCUCUAAAUGGGUAGAAGUUUUUCCCUGUUCUCGAGAGAACACGAAGGUAGUUACUCGUUUUGAUACCUAGUUAUAAUAAUAAUAAUGAUACAUUUUAUUUAUAAGUGCCUUUCAAGGUACCCAAGGACACUGGACAGUAAAAAAGAAAAACAAACAAUAAAAGCAGAACAAUAAAAUAACAACAAUAAAAUAAUAAGAAAUCAAUAAUAAUUAUUGUUAUAGUUAUGGGGUUCCAGAUGCCAUAAACUCAGACAAAGGUACCCCUUUUCACCUCAAAAGUCACACACUUUGUAAGUAUCUCUAAACUAAACUGGUGUUUUCACAUUCCUAAAUCCUCUGGUAUCAUAGAACGUACUAAUCGAACAUUGAAAGACAAAUUAAUUAAGGUCAUGCAGGACACAGGUUUGGUUCUGUAAUCCAUAAUUCAUUCUGGCUGAAAUUCGUGUGAGACCAAGAAAUUAUUCUCCCCUGGAAGAAGGGAACUCCGGCUCCGGGUACCUCUGAUUUGAAAAUGCAUAUGGAUGAGUAUUCUGCAGCCCUUGUAGAUAAGUUGCAUAAAAUUUGUACCAAGGUCAAUAAUACAACAUUAUCUCCACCACACACCCCUUUCACGUGGGAGACAGGUGCUGGUGUGACUUUUUAAAGUAAUGAUUUGGACAAUUGGGAAAACAAUAUAAUGGGCCUGCAGACAUAGUCGCCAUUACUUUUGCUGCUGUUUUAACUGAUCUUUUUCCACAGUGGAUCCAUGCCACUCGAUUGAAGAAGGCUCCAUAACAAAGUUGUGUUACAAUAACAAGUUUGCUGCUAUUAAUGCUUUUUGUGUCCCUAUCUAGUCUCCCUCUGGCCAGUUUUCUCUCUCUCUCUCUCUCUCUCUCUCUCUCUAUUUCUGAGCUCUACACAGAUUCGACUGAGAAUCCUCAAGACGUUGUGAACAAAGAGGAGAAGAGAUCUUGCGCCCCAUUUGGAACCAAUCAUCCUCACUACAACCAUGACAGUCCUCAUCACGGGUUUCGUGACUUCAUUGUUGCUCGGGGCAGGGCUACCCGCCCGAGCCUUCGUGACUGCUUCAUCUUUGCUCGGGGCAGGGUUACCCGCCCAAGCCUUCUGGACCACUUCAUUGCUCGGAGCAGGGUUACCCGCUCGAGCUGGACUUCGAGACAACAUCUUCUGGACUAACUUCGCUAACUGGACUGCACAAGCACACACCACACGAAUGUGUUAUGUCUUUCAUCUGAUGCCGUUUUCUACUAUUAUUACACAUCUCCAUGCUCUGAAACUCUGUAUUCUUACAGGACUCUGUUCUCACUAUAGGUCGAUAUGCCUUCUAAUUUCAUUUUUCCCUCACUGUUUUAGAACAAAUUACUCUGAAGGAAGUAGCGUGUAUCUGGGAAUUAAGAGGUUUUGAGUUUCUCUAAGCUCCGGUGAGGUGGGACAAGGGCUGAUUGGGCAUGCCCGCCCUCUGAGCACCAAUAUACGUCAAGAAGGGCAAAGAUUAACUCAAGAUUAAUUCUCGAUGUAAUCACAUAUAUGAUCAUGAGGUGAUAAUGAUCAAAUAUGAUCCUAGGAUUUGAUAAUAGUAAUACUAUUAUCAAAGGGGGGGAUUGUUAGGUUUAUAUAAGUAUUAUUCUUGACCAAGAAGGCAGUAAUUUAUUAAAAUGGUGACAAAAUUAAGGAUUAACUUAAGGUUCAGUUAAAAAUGACCUUCUGUCUCGGCUGGACAUUGUUUGGGAACAUUUUGUUUAUUUUUUGAUAUGAAUGUGUAUUCAUUCAGAGAGGUGUCUGAAAGAUUCACCAAGGUCCGUUUUGGUGUCAGAUCGACCCACACACACUCUGAAAUGGUAGAAUUAAGGUUCAUGUUUAUGUUAAUUCAUGUUUAGUUGAAACUUAGGUUUAUAGCUUCUUAAAAGCUUGAAAUAUACUAUGGUAGUGAUUUGGAUCCCGUAAUUAAUGAAUGCAUUCCGUGAUUAAUGUUAGUUUUAUAGUUUUAGAUUAGUUUCAUAAUGACAUUAUAAUUAUAGUUAAGAUCUUAUGAUUCUAAGGGUUUUUAGUUUAAAAGCAUUAACCUAAUUUAGUUAUGAGUUUAAU